rnacentral:misc_RNA from 1 species
GAUGAAGAACGUAGCGAAAUGCGAUAAGUAAUGUGAAUUGCAGAAUUCAGUGAAUCAUCGAAUCUUUGAACGCACCUUGCGCCCUUUGGCUAUUCCGAAGGGCAUGCCUGUUUGAGUAUCAUGAACACCUCAACUCUCAUGGUUUGCCAUGAUGAGCCUGGACUUUGGGGGUCUUGCCGGCCUAUGGGUCGGCUCCUCUCAAAUUAAUCAGCUUGCCAGUGUUUGGUGGCAUCACAGGUGUGAUAACUAUCUACGCUUGUGGUUUUCCAUCAGGUAACCUUCAGUGAUGGAGGUUCGCUGGGGCUCAUAAAUGUCUCUCCUCAGUGAGGACAGCUUUUUUGAACGUUUGAUCUCAAAUCAGGUAGGACUACCCGCUGAACUUAAGCAUAUCAAUAAGCGGAGGA